rnacentral:rRNA from 1 species
UUGAACGCUGGCGGCAGGCCUCACCCAUGCAAGUCGCGCGGAUGAAGGGAGCUUGCUCCUGGAUUCAGCGGCGGACGGGUGAGUAAUGCCUAGGAAUCUGCCUGGUAGUGGGGGAUAACGUCCGGAAACGGGCGCUAAUACCGCAUACGUCCUGAGGGAGAAAGUGGGGGAUCUUCGGACCUCACGCCAUCAGAUGAGCCUAGGUCGGAUUAGCUAGUUGGUGGGGUAAAGGCCUACCAAGGCGACGAUCCGUAACUGGUCUGAGAGGAUGAUCAGUCACACUGGAACUGAGACACGGUCCAGACUCCUACGGGAGGCAGCAGUGGGGUAUAUUGGACAAUGGGCGAAAGCCUGAUCCAGCCAUGCCGCGUGUGUGAAGAAGGUCUUCGGAUUGUAAAGCACUUUAAGUUGGGAGGAAGGGCAGUAAGUUAAUACCUUGCUGUUUUGACGUUACCAACAGAAUAAGCACCGGCUAACUUCGUG